rnacentral:rRNA from 1 species
CCUACGGUAGGCAGCAGUAGGGAAUCUUUCACAAUGGGCGAAAGCCUGAACCAGCCAAGUAGCGUGAAGGAUGACUGCCCUACGGGUUGUAAACUUCUUUUAUAAAGGAAUAAAGUGAGGCACGUGUGCCUUUUUGUAUGUACUUUAUGAAUAAGGAUCGGCUAACUCCGUGCCAGCAGCCGCGGUAAUACGGAGGAUCCGAGCGUUAUCCGGAUUUAUUGGGUUUAAAGGGAGCGUAGAUGGGUUGUUAAGUCAGUGGUGAGAGUUUGCGGCUCAACCGUAAAGUGCAAUUGAUACUGGCAGUCUUGAGUACAGUUGAGGUAGGCGGAAUUCGUGGUGUAGCGGUGAAAUGCUUAGAUAUCACGAAGAACUCCGAUUGAGAAGGCAGCUUACUAAACUGCCACUGACAUUGAUGCUCGAAAGUGUGGGUAUCAAACAGGAUUAGAUACCCGGGUAGUC